UUGUCCUCUUAACUGAUUGUGGGAAGUUGUUCUUUACUUGGGAAUGUUCCAUUAUAGAUUUUCAUCCAUCUUGAAUGAAGAUUAUGCGAAGUGUACCACUUGCAUUUGCUGGGUUGUUUGAUUCCUCGAAUUUCUUCUUUGGCCUUCUAUUAUCAAGAUUUGCUUUCCCAAUGAUUUGAUAUCGAUGUCUUCAUCCUUUGCUCCACAUCUCCUCAUUAUAUCUUUUGUCCUUUAACUAGUUUUACAAUUGUGAUUGUAAUUGUUUUAUGUUGUACCUUUGUGAUACGUUAGGUAGACGAAUUAGAUGUAUGCCAUUUGUAUUUGGUCCAUCUUCGAUAGACUCUUUAUUAGUUUAAUUUAUUGUAUCGUGGAGUUGAUCUUCAUUUUUAGGGGCUUCAACGAGUUCUCUGUAUCUAAAGUUUAGAAUGAAGCGUGAAAUUGAUUAUAUUAUACUUGCUUUCAUAUGGUAUUUUACAAUUUUCGAUGCAUCCCUCAAGUUUAUAAAGAAACGUGCA
rnacentral:lncRNA from 1 species